GGAGUUAGCCGGUGCUUCUUCUGUGAGUGAUGUCCUUCCUGCCGGUUAUUGACCCGCAGGCCUUCUUCCUCACUGAAAGUGCUUUACAACCCGAAGGCCUUCUUCACACACGCGGCAUGGCUGGAUCAGGGUUGCCCCCAUUGUCCAAUAUUCCCCACUGCUGCCUCCCGUAGGAGUCUGGGCCGUGUCUCAGUCCCAGUGUGGCUGAUCAUCCUCUCAGACCAGCUACGGAUCGUCGCCUUGGUGAGCCGUUACCUCACCAACCAGCUAAUCCGACAUAGGCUCAUCCGAUAGCGCGAGGCCCGAAGGUCCCCCGCUUUCCCCCGUAGGGCGUAUGCGGUAUUAGCCUGGGUUUCCCCCAGGUUAUCCCCCACUACCGGGCAGAUUCCUAUGCAUUACUCACCCGUCCGCCGCUCGCCACCAGGGAGCAAGCUCCCCGUGCUGCCGCUCGACUUGCAUGUGUUAGGCCUGCCGCCAGCGUUCAAUCUGAGCCAUGAUCAAACUCUGA
rnacentral:rRNA from 1 species